CAUCCGCCCAUCCAUGAUUCAGUUAGGUUCUUCUUCAGUGUCCAACCAAGGAUCGAUCUUGGAAGUGGAUGCCCCAUGAAAUCUAACAGGAGCAGCAGCGGGUGUGCCCCGCGAAAUUUGACAGGAACGUCAGUGGCGUACGCCCUGUCACCGGGAAGAACCAGGCCGGCGCUGGGCACCAGGGCAGCACGGGCAAUGCUGAGGGGAAGAGCUCGGAUCCCCGAUUGGUGCCGGCGAGGUGCCCGUUCGGCUACGACUCCGGCACGUUCAAGCUGGGCCCGCUCAGCUGCAUGAUCUGCCAGGCGCUGCUCCACGAAUGCAGCAGAUGCAACCCCUGCUCCCAUAAGUUCUGCAAGGCUUGUGUGUUGCGCUUUAAGGACUGCCCGUUGUGUGGUGCUGAUGUAGAGGGCAUUGAACCUGAUCCUGGACUUCAGGCCCUCGUCGAUAGCUUCAUUGACGGACAUGCCCGAAUCAAACGAUCACAUGCUUCAGGGGAUGGGGAAGUAUUGGGUGGCAAGAACAAGGUGAUAUAUGAGGAUGUUUCAAUGGAGAGAGGAGCUUUUCUGGUGCAGCAAGCUAUGAGGGCUUUCCGUGCUCAGAACAUUGGAAGUGCGAAGUCAAGGCUUAUUAUGUGUGCAGAAGACAUCAGGGAGGAGUUGAAAACUUCAGAAGAUAAUCUAGACCUUCGCUCUCAACUUGGAGCUGUUUUAGGAAUGCUUGGGGAUUGCUGUCGGACCUUGGGAGAUUCUCCUUCAGCAAUCAGUUACUAUGAAGAAAGUGCUGAGUUCCUCUCAAAAUUGCCCGUAAAGGAUCUUGAGUUGGUGCAUACUCUCUCAGUUUCACUUAAUAAAAUUGGUGACCUUCGCUACUAUGAUGGGGACCUGCAAUCUGCAUGAAGUUAUUAUUCCCGUUCAUUGGAUGUUCGCGGAAAUGCAGUGAAGGAACACUCAGCAGUGGCCUCCCAGGUCAUUGAUCUAGCAACUUCUCUAGCAAAAGUUGCGGAUGUUGAUAGAAACCUUGGGAAUGAAAGCACUGCAGUCGAGGGUUUCAAGGAAACAAUUGAAUGCCUUGAGAAACUGAAGCUUGGUCCUGAGCAAGCUAGUCUUGAGCAAAGGCGCCUAUCUGUUUUAGGCUUCCUGCACAACCAAUUGGCAGUUAAAUAAAGGACAGUGCGUGGCAUCCUAAUGCCAUACCCAUAAGAUACAUAUUCACCAAGAUGGGUUGAAGAACUCCAGUUUUCAUGUGAUGCAUACUGAAGGAACUUCCCUGUGGUAAUUAGAGGGUGUUCUUGAAAGCAGCACAAAAUACGAGCUCUGCCAUUGUAAAUAUAUCCUCCAUGUGCUGGGCGUGGAGAGAACCCUUGAUGGCUGCCUAUAUGUGCAGCCGUUGAACCCCCCUAGUCUAUUCCGGCAACUGGGCGCGAACCUGAAAUGGUUAGGUGUGGAGGAUGAAACUUCUCAGAAGUCAUGUGUGAAUAUAAUCCCUUUGUACAUUGACUAGGGCCUGUUUAGCAGGGCUCCGGCUCCACAAAAAACGGCUCCGGCUCCGGCUUCUCUGGUGGAGCGGCUUCUCUAGUGGAGCUGGAGCCGUUUUGUAAAGCUUUUGGCAAAAUGGCUUCAUGCUGAUUUUUAUGAAUGGAUAGAACAUGUGAAAUGUCCAAUAUGCCUUUUGCUA